rnacentral:rRNA from 1 species
CUGCUUUUCAAAUGCCGCUACAUGGUUAGAGUAUGGAACAUGAUUAAAGCGUGGCUUGGCCUUCAUGACAUUUACUCGCAGAACUGGGCCAUGGUUGACACGGUGAAGAAUUGGUGGAGUGCCACCGCUUCCAACACGACGCAAUCUCGACGACCGCUUACCUGCCUUAUGCUGCUCGUCUCAGGGGAAAUUUGGAAAGAGCGGAAUGCUAGGGUAUUUCGUAAUGUCGCGGUGCCUGUUGGGGUUUUAGUAGCUAGAAUCAAAGACGAGACGGCGCUAUGGUGUCUGGCCGGUGCGAAACAUUUGUGUAAUAUCAUGCCGCAAGAGUGA